CCUACGGGGGGCAGCAGUGGGGAAUAUUGCACAAUGGGCGCAAGCCUGAUGCAGCGACGCCGCGUGAGCGAUGAAGGCCUUCGGGUCGUAAAGCUCUGUCUUAAGGGAAGAAUAAUGACGGUACCUUAGGAGGAAGCCCCGGCUAACUACGUGCCAGCAGCCGCGGUAAUACGUAGGGGGCGGGCGUUAUCCGGAAUCACUGGGCGUAAAGGGUGCGUAGGCGGCCCUGCAAGUCAGGAGUUAAAUCCCUCGGCUCAACCGAGGUCAGCUCUUGAAACUGUAGGGCUUGAGUGCAGGAGAGGAGGGCGGAAUCCCUAGUGUAGCGGUGAAAGUGGUAGAUAUUGGGAGGAACACCAGUGGCGAAGGGGGCUCUCUGGACUGCAACUGACGCGGAGGGACGAAAGCGGGGGGAGCGAACAGGAUUAGAUCCCCGUGUAGUC
rnacentral:rRNA from 1 species